rnacentral:lncRNA from 1 species
UGUUCAGUUUUUUAAAAUUUUUAAAGGUUUUAUUUGGUUUUCUGGAUACAAUUAUUGUGGCCUAGCAAAUAUUCUCUAUGAAAAUCUUAAAAAAUCCCACCAUUUUUAAAUAUAUUGAGCUAACACAACAUACUUAUUCUGUAAAAGGACCAUUUUACAUAAAACAACUUUUUACAAUCUCAAAAAGAGCAAUAAAGGACUUAAACUGGAAAGUAAUUUUUUUUUAAAAACCUUAAAGUAUGGUAUAUACACCAAUUAAAAAUAAUCAAAACAGAAAACCUGCUCUUCUGAAAAUUGAGAAAAGUAUGUUUUGCAUUGAAUAUCCUCAAUGAUUAUAAAUUUAAUUAUCAAUAUUUUUAUACUAUGUUAUAGAACGGUUGCAUUUGGAACAACAAGGUGCAGUUAAGAUAAAAAGCUGGCGUAGAAACAAAACUCCCAAAAAAUCACCGGAGCCUAAACGUGCACCAAACAAAAAACUAAAAUCCAAUGCCCUUCUCGAAUCAUUUUCAAUGCUAGAUUUACCUACAAGUUCGACAUCAGAUUCUAUGCCAAGUUCAAGCACUUCGCCUGUCUUACCUGAUAUAAAUAUGCGUUUAACUCAGGAAAUUACGAGUAUAGAUAGUUUAAAACAAACUGUAAAACCAUCUCGGUGUUCUAAAAAUAAAAAAAUGCCAAUACAGGCUAUGCAAACAACCGAUAAUGCAGUUGAGCUAAACAUAAAAUGUCCUCCAGUUAUUGAUCAAAAUAGUACUGAAGCUUCCAAAAUGUUUGCCAUGCCUGUGUCCAACAAUAUUUCAACAGUUACACCUAAUAUUAGCUCAAUUAUCAGUACCAGUACCAUGACUAAUCAAUCAAUCACUACUAACAAUAGAAGCCAAUCAGUUGCUAAUAUAAAUCAAUCAAUCACCUGUAACACGAGUAAACCAAUUUCUAGUACCUUUAUUAAUCAGUCAAUUGCUAGUAACAUUAAUACUGGUCAACCAAUUGUUAGUAAUAUUACUAGUCAAUCAAUUACUAGUAACAUUACUAGUCAACAAAUUGCUAAUAAUAUUGCUGGUCAAUCAAUAUCUAAUAGUUUUGGCAGUCAAUUAAUUUCUAGUAAUAUUGGUCAAUCAAUUUCUAGUAAUUUUACUAGUCAAUUAAACAGCAAUAACAUUACUAGACAAUCAUUUGCUAAUAACAUUAUAAAUAAAUCUAUGGCCAGUUCAAGUCUAAAAGUUAACACUCAAACUGUUGCCAAUAGUGGACAGAUGAUCAACAUUGCACAAACUAAAAAUAGCAAUAAUCAAACUCUUGUUGGUAACAAUAAAAUGGUUGUAAACAGCAUUAGCUCAAAUGUAUGUAAUUUUAAUGAUAAACAAGUACUUUCAUCUGGAGAUUUGAUAACAAUUGGUGCUAGAAAGAAAACAAAAAACGUUCAAAUUGCUCAACCAGUUAACAUCGGACAGCCAUCUGGUAUGUUGUAUUUGUAUUUUUAAUUAAAAAAUUUUUUUUAUAUUAUCAAUUUUAUCAUUUAUUUGUAUUUUAGGACCUCUAAAUUUCCAACAAGAUCAUCAUACUAUUACUAAAUCGCCUUGUAACAAAGAACCACAACAACGGCAAAUAUUAGUGUUGCAACAAAAGCGAUCUGAUCAUUCUAUUUCUAGUUCUGAACAAAAUACAACAGCUCUUAGUCAUAAUGAACCACAAUCUAUUCAUCAUCUUCUUCAACUGCAACAGCGACAUAAGUUACAAAAACAACAAGAAAUGCAACUGAAACUCUUGCAACGUAAACAAAUACAGCAGCAAACUUUGCAGCAAAACAAACAACAAGUCAUUAUAAGGAAAUCAGAUGUUGAGGAAAAAAUAGAAACUGGUGAUAGUGAACAUCCUCAAGUUAUAUUUGUAAAACAGGGUCCAAGAGGAGUUCAAACAGAGACACAACAAAUAACACAACAUCAAUUGCAACAAAUAUUAAUGAUGAGGCCACAGCAACAGAUAGGACAACAACCACAGGUUGUUAUGGUUAAACAACCGGGAAAUGAACAAAAAUCAAUUGCACUCAAGGUUUGUAUACCUAUAAUAAAUUAAUCUUGAACAUAAUUAAAUAAGUUUUCUGAAUUGAUUCUGAAGAAUAAGUAUUAAUUGUCUUCUUUUUUUCUUUUUUUUUUUUUUAACAAUGUAUGAUUUAGGAGCUAGAGUUAUAACAUAAACAAGGUUGUGAUUUGAUAUUCUAGUCAAUGUAACUUACAUUGAAAAAUAUUUAAACAAACAUAACACAUUUUUUAGUUAAAAAAAUAAAACAAGUAGAUUACAUAAAAUAUUAUUUUAUACUAUUUGUGAACAUAUUAAUUGUAAUAAAAAAUGUAUUUUUAGUAUUUUAUUUGUCAAUAUUGGAAUCGGUAAAUAAAAUAUAUGAUUGCUUAUAGUUCAUUAUUAUUAAAAAUUUUGACUAUAUAUUUUUAAUACCUAUAAAAUUAUAGUAUUGCAUUAUUUAUAUUCUAGCCAAUACUGACAUCACUUCGUGGUACGCAAAUUCAACCAAAUUCACCAAAUUCUACUAAUUUGUUGUUACAAACAAAACAAACUGGUCAAAAUGUACAACGAAGAAUUACCAAACCAAUUGUUGGCAAGCUCAUGACUAAUCAAAGAACUCAGUUACCAGUUGACACUGUUCUUACAAAUAGAAAAUUACCUGUUGUUUCUCAAGGUUGGUGAUUUAAGAAUUGUUGUCAAUUUAUAAUUUUAAUUGUAUUUAUUAUUUAGGAACAUCAUUACGAAUUUCUGGUGUACAAACAUCAAAGAGUGGUCAACCACAGUAUACAGUUGUUACUGUUGCUCAACCAAAACUUAUGCCAUCAAAUCAAUUAAAUAUUGGACAGGUAAUUAUGGUAAAUUCCUUUUAAACUUAUAUAAAUACCUUUAUUUUUAUAGCAAACACCUUCUCGUUUAUCGGCUAUAAAUGAUCGUUUAAAAUCUAGUGAAACCAACCAACCACAAACUCUACGUGUAGUUCAGUCACAAAUUGCCGGAAAACCUUUAUUAGUGACAAACAAAGUAAGUUAAUAUAGAGUUCUCUAAAAGUAUUGUUAAGUAUAAUUAAUGUUCAUAGGCACAAAUUUCAUCUGGUCAUACUGGUAUAUCAACAUCUCCUAACAUAGUAUCAUCAACUGUAGUGAAUUCUACAGCUAACACUUACACUGUACUGCAACAAGGCUCUCAGCAAAUACUUGUACCGGCAAAUUCGUUAAAGUCUAUUCAAGGUUUAAAAGUUAUACCACUAUCGCAACAUAGCGUUAAAGGUUUGUCAGGUUAUUCUUUUACUUGUAUUAGUUUGCAUAUUUUUGAAGUUAAAAAUGCAUUAUAGGACGUUCUCAAAUGUAUGCUCGAAUUGUAAAUCCUGAUAAUGUGAGGCCUGUGUUCAUUCAACAACCACCCAAUCAAGAUAGUAACCCAGGACCGAGUGAAUCAAAUACUUAACCCCUGAGAUAUUAGUUCCUUAUUUAUUAUUAUUUAUAUUUAUACAGUAUAUACGGUCGUUAUGCAAUUGUAAUGACUUAACUUUAUAAACCAUAAGGUUUAAUAUAACUCAAGUCUACAUAAUGUGUGUAGUCUGAUCGUUACCUACUUUUUUGUUUUAUAUUUAUAUCCUUUUUAUUUGCUUCAAUAAACUUUACUGAGAGGAUUUAUUGUUGUUUAAAGACUUGUAUAGUUAAGGAAUAUUAAGUUUUGUAAAAUAUUAGGACUUUUUCUGUUAUCUGUCACUGUUUUUCAAAAUAAUAUUUCUUAUUUUUUUACUAUUUAAAAACAUAUACAAACUUUCUUCUAUUUUAAAAAGAAUUAUAGACUUGAGUGAAAAAACAUAUAAUACACUAUUUAAUAAUAAGUAGUACAGAUAAACAAAGGGACAUUUUUUUUUAAGAUGCGAGGACACCAAAGAUUGAAUAUUUCUUCAACAGUGGGUGUAAGAUAUGCAUUUGCCAUUCUUCUAGCAAAUGAUUUCUGUUAGUUUUUCAUCUCAGAAUAAUUUUCAAUUAUUUUAACUUAAACAAAUUAAGUAUGCACAUCGAGUGAUUAGAAAUAUAUCUAAAGAAUGCCUCACUUGUAUCCUACUUAUAUUGAAAUAUAUUAACACAUUAAAAGGAUACUUAAUAUUUAAGGGGUUGUUUAUAGAAAAUUAAAUAAUUUUGCUAAACAUUUUCGAAAAAUUAAAAUUUAUUACCUGAAAAAUAUUCAAAUUUACUUUCAAAUACUUUAAUAUAAAUGUAUUUUUUACUGUUUAUGUUUUACUGUGUAAUCUUCAAAACCAUGUUAACUUUAAACAGAAAACAGUACCCUUCAAGUGAUUUUAGGGUUUUUUAAGAUAAAAAUUGUCUUUAUUGUUGAUUGAUAAUAUAUUGAUUUUCAAUUAACUUGAAUGUGAAAGUAGAUAUUCAAGAAUAAAAAAUUCCUUAGAUUAAGUGGUGCUCUUUAAUAUUUUCAAGUUCAAAAACACAUGCCAACAUCCUCUUCACAUAUUUAACAAUCAUUUCCUGAUCUUUGUUUAUCUGUCAAUGUGUCAUCAAACAAUAUAUUAUAAAACCAAAAUGGAUGUAUAUAGAAAUACUAUAUUUAAUAAUAUAAUUAAUCUAAUAUAAAUUUUUUACUAUAAUUAAAUAGGCACUUACAUGAGGUUAUUUAGAGACGUCAAUCGAAAAGUUCAUUUAUCUUAAAGAAUAUUAAAUAAAUGGAAUUUUACACACUCAAAUUAAUUUUAUACUAUUUAGGUACCCAACAUUUUGGUUUUUUAUUCUAGAAUAAUAAAUAUUAAAAUAGAAGAAUUUAAAUUAUCUGUGUAAUACAUGUUUUUAGAUAGUUAAAGAAUAAUAAAAAAAAAUAAAAAAAUAUUUUAAUAUUUUUUUACAUCUAUACCUGUUUUAACCAACGUGUUUAUAAAAAUAAAUGUUUGAAUAAUAAUUAUAGCAUAUAAACUAAUUUUAUACCAUGCAUUUUUAAAUUUUAUUUUAAGGUUAUUUUUAUUUGAUUUAAAG